GUACUUUUUGCUUUGCCUAAUUUUGGCUCGUUGGUAAUGGUAAUAGUGUAAAUGUGUUUUUCUUUUUAUUAUAACCCAAAUGUUGGAACUCAUCGGAGAAAUCCAUACAUCUAAAAAUCAAUGCAAAAUACAAAAGUCUAACUCAAAAACAUUUAAAAAAUGAUGAUCCUUACUAUUGUUUUCUUGUGAAGAUGGGGGAAGGGUUUCAGUGCAUACGUUAGAACAAAACUCCCUAAAAGUCCUCUAAUUCUACCAGUGCACCUCAUUCAGACAUUCAUCAAGAAAAAGGCCAGCUGAAGGCAGACAGCCAACAAAACUCAGUCGUUAGCCACAGCCCUGGCUGUCCUCGUCCAUCAAGCCUGCCCAUUGUGAGCUUCCAUUCAUCUUACCUGUCUGUUAUGGAAGAGUGAAGUGGAAAAGGCAUGGAGGACUCAGAAGACCUGCUACCGAGAAGAGCCCCAUUGCAAUCAGAAGAUUAUUUAUGGAAAAAAGCAAAAUGGAGAUAUUUAAAAGACGGAGAGAGACAGCAGAAAGCUGCUUAAGAAAUUGCUUUGAGUCCACAGGAGGGAAGCACAAAGGAGAUGGGAUAAUAGUGUUAUACACUACAUGAUAUCACAGAGCUGGCAGAGUUAAUGAGUAUCUUGGACAAUUGCACCAAAUGCAAUGGAUUGGGAUCACUAAAUCAAGACGUAAUUUGAUAGAAAUAAAGGGAUGGGUUCUUGCUCUGUUACCCAGGCUGGAGCACAG
rnacentral:lncRNA from 1 species